UACGAACUGUGCGAACGUUAUUCGGAAUCACUGGGCUUAAAGGGUGCGUAGGCGGUCCGCUAAGUCAGGUGUGAAAUCCCCCGGCUCAACCGGGGAACAGCGCUUGAAACUGACGGACUUGAGUGAGGUAAGGGUGUGCGGAACUUCCAGUGGAGCGGUGAAAUGUGUAGAUAUUGGAAGGAACUCCGGUGGCGAAAGCGGCACACUGGGCCUUGUCUGACGCUGAGGCACGAAAGCUAGGGGAG
rnacentral:rRNA from 1 species